UACGAAGGGGGCUAGCGUUGCUCGGAAUUACUGGGCGUAAAGCGCACGUAGGCGGCUUUCUAAGUCAGGGGUGAAAUCCCGGGGCUCAACCCCGGAACUGCCUUUGAUACUGGGUAUCUGGAGGUCGAGAGAGGCGAGUGGAAUUCCGAGUGUAGAGGUGAAAUUCGUAGAUAUUCGGAGGAACACCAGUGGCGAAGGCGACUCGCUGGCUCGAUACUGACGCUGAGGUGCGAAAGCGUGGGGAGCAAACAGG
rnacentral:rRNA from 1 species